rnacentral:rRNA from 1 species
AUGAUGCCCGCCAACGGCGGCAGGCUGGAUCUGGACGCCGUGUUCGGGGCCGAUGGGUUCAUCUCCUCCCCCCGCUACGAGAAGCUCAUGGCCGAGACUCCGUACUCCGUCCUCGACGUCGACCACCUCAUCUACCCACCCCCCCAACCUCGCCGGCUGCAUCUCCUUCCGUUGCCUCAACGUCAAGAACGACUCCCGUCUGGAGGGCCUCAUCAAGUUGUCCGAUCUGGUGCGCCCCUCCCCACCUCCCCUGCCUUCCCCGCUCCCUCUGUCAGGCGUGCUUGUGGCACACUUGUAUUGCUGAAGCGCUUCAUUAUGUCUCAGGUGCGGCCAUUUUCACACUUGACAAACUUCAUUCAGAAAAAAAAACAUCCAAAAAAGAGCAGGCAAAACUUUAUAUUCAUAUUCCAUAAGAAUUUGUUCACUUACAACCAUGUUCAACAUAUUUUUGAAAUAUCAUCAAAAAGGAAGUCUACAUACGGGAACAACAUACACUAA